UGUUUCAUGAUAAGAAUUUCAUGUCUUUUGUAUUAAAGAAUUAAAUGGAUGAAAUAUGAAGUUUUAUUAAAAGAAAAAGGGGUGAAAAGAACAAAGUUUUGUCCAUCUUUGUUCAUCAUAGCUGAAAGUUAGAGAAGAGAAAGGAGAGGAGAAAUCUCUUGAGUAUUUGGUCAUUAGGAGGAGGAAAAUUGAAGGUAAUCCCCAACCAUAGUGGGCUUGGAGCUGUGAGGGAAUUCGGAGUGGCCACCCGUUCUGAAAGUUUGAUUUUCUUCUGGUGAACUGGACAUCCUUUUAUUUACGUUUGAAGUUUUGGGUUUUUAAAUGUAAUAAGGCCGCUUAAUUAUUUUUGAUGGUUUUAAUAUGUAUUACUAAGAUAGGUAAUACUUAUUUUAACUGUUGAAAUUAGAUAGCUUUAGGGCACGUUUUCAAAAACAACAGUUGAUUUCAAAAUAACACGACAACAAGCAAAGCUUCCGCAAUGAAA